rnacentral:pre_miRNA from 1 species
GUAUUACUUCUUCCGUUUCAUAAUUCUUGUCUCAAAUUUGUUCAAAUAUGAAUGUAUCUAUUCUUAAGAAGCGUCUAGAUACAUGUAAUAUUUCGACAAGAAUUAUGGAACGGAGGUAGUAACAA